rnacentral:rRNA from 1 species
UACGAAGGGGGCUAGCGUUGCUCGGAAUCACUGGGCGUAAAGCGCACGUAGGCGGAUUGUUAAGUCAGGGGUGAAAUCCUGGAGCUCAACUCCAGAACUGCCUUUGAUACUGGCGAUCUCGAGUCCGGGAGAGGUGAGUGGAACUGCGAGUGUAGAGGUGAAAUUCGUAGAUAUUCGCAAAGAACACCAGUGGCGAAGGCGGCUCACUGGCCCGGUACUGACGCUGAGGUGCGAAAAGCGUGGGGAGCAAACAGGG